GCCUUCUUCCUCCGCUCAGCCGCCUCAGUGACCAUCGUCAAGUCUGCCACAGGAGGAUAUUUUUUUGAGGUUAACCUGCUUUCUCCCUCGCAGGUCGAUUACUAUGUUCGUAUAAAUUUGUUUAAUCUUAGAAUUUCCGCAUGUGUUAGAAAUGUUUAUUUGAUUUGGGUCUGUAAACUAAAUUAUUAUUUUGGGACCUGUAAACUUAAUAUACUAUGCAUGUUUGAUGGAUUGGAUGAGGGAGCUGAGCUCCCAUUUAUUAUUAUGUUGAUGAGUAUGUGGAGGGUGAGCUGAGCUCCCCAAUUGACUAUAUAUUGUGUUUACAGGUCGGGUGAGUCGAAAACUCCCCGUUGGUAA